rnacentral:lncRNA from 1 species
AGUUCACGUCGUAUGGAGAGGCGAUGUAGAGCCUAUUUAAAGGAGCGUCCCCGUGGUAUAGCAAGCUGAAGAAUACACCUAUUUCUCCCUCUCUCUCGAGGCAAAAAAUGGCGAAAGAAAGCAUGUGGGCGUUGCUCAUCUUUGUGGCCGCAAUCCGAGGCUCGCUCGCCGGAAUCCCCCGUGAAAUCCACCUCCUCCGGCCGCGGUCGGGCUCCGCCGGCGAGCGCGUGCACGGCCUGUCCUGCCUGAGCUGGAGGCUGGGCGUGGAGACCAACAACAUCAAGAAUUGGACCACGGUCCCGCUGGAGUGCGAGGGCUACGUGGGUCACUACAUGCUGGGGCAUCAGUAUAGGGAGGACUCGAAGGUGGUGGCGCGCGAGGCCGUGCUCUACGCCAAGAGCCUGAAGCUCGCUGGAGACGGCAAGGACGUGUGGGUGUUCGACGUCGACGAGACCUUGCUCUCCAAUCUGCCUUACUACGCGAAGCAUGGAUUCGGGUAUGUUACAACUGCAUUAAGCUCUUGUUUUCUUUAAUUCCUCUUUCAUUUUGACGGUCCAAAACAGUAAGAGAAAGUGAUUUCGCAAGCCUUGUUAACGCCCAAAGCAUGUGUUUACUUUUUGCCAAAGUUGAAACUUGAGUGGCUGAAUAAAUUUCUUCGAAGAUGUCGUGUUUGUUUGAUUGGAUCCGCGGUUGUUCGGCGUAGAAAGACAGUCGCUGGGGUAAAAACUGAAAAGCGCCCUGUAGUUACCAUCUUAACUACCAUUAGUCUAUCUGAACUUACUUCGUAUAGAUUUUUACAGUGAAGACUCUUGCUCUCUAUCUGCAUAAAGAUUACAUUUCGAUGAUAAUGCUGGUUUUGUCGAUUGCUCGGCGUCGUGCCGGUAUCGGGUACUUGGAAUGAGCUCGUAUACUAUAGUCGCGGCCGUCCUGAGGGGAGAAAAGGAUGUAUGACGUUGUCGCCUUGAAAAACAAUAAUGGUGGUCAUUGAACAAAGGAUAGGUACCAUCUAAGCUCAUAUCAUCAGACUUAGUCAAAGUAUAGUAAAGAAAAGAUAAAGAGGAGAGCCACAUGGAGGAGGUAGAUGGUAAAUGCUGUAUCUUUUAAGAAAGUAUACUCUUGCAUAAUAAUGCUGGUCGAAAAUCUUAUCCUUUUAGCCUUUGUACCUCCUUGGAAAUCCGCAAUGAUGUAGAUGCAGAAUGGUUCUUGGACCACCCGAAAAGCAGAAGCCUCAAGAGUCCAAAAAAGAUAACGCAACAUGUUUAAUAGGUCCAGAAAGGAGAUCUUGCCAAAGUUGUCUCCUUUCUUGCGGAUCUUUGAAAAUCAACGUGGACGGCGAAAUACAUAUAAUAUUGCUCUCUAGUUUGCCUGUAACAUCGCCAAGUCAUAACUUCUACAAGCAAAUGAAUAAGACCUGCGUGCACGUAAUUAUAAUGAAUCAUGCGACGAUGUGAUUUCUUCUGCCGUUGGAUAACCUCAACGUGCAAGACGAUCCGCCCCUUCCCGGAAGCCAAGGUUGCUAAGGAUCUCUACCUCUCCUAAGCCCAUGCAGCUAGUUCGCUGUCGCUGUUGCAGGCACCUACUUCUAGGUUUGAGUAUGCGUACUUUGCCUGCUCUGUGGUCUCUUGCUAUCGAUUCCAAUGGCCUCUUUAUUAUCGGAAACAGUACACUGAUCAUGUCGGAUUAAAGCUGUAAACUUCGCUGUUUUCCCUGUCAUUGGAAUUGCCCACAUGAUUACCAGUCGACACUGCUGACAAAAGAGAGACAGCUUCGACUGUUCAUGACAGGACAUAAAGAACUCAAAAGUAAUCUUACGCUACUACUUCUAGGUUUUCUUUUUCAUUCCUAGGGAAACACAAUCAUAUCCAUCUCUAAUUCGUUGCGCUUUGGUUAGCUUUGUAAUCCAUUUUCAUGUGUAAAAUAAGCGCAGGGCGGAGCCCUACAACUCGACGCUGUUCAAUCAGUGGGUCCUCACCGGCAAAGCACCGGCGCUGCCGGAGACGCUGGAGCUGUACCGGGAGCUGUUGAAACUGGGGAUCAAGCCCAUCUUCCUCACCGGAAGAACCGAGGACCAGAGGAAGAUCACUUCCUCCAACCUCAGGAACGCUGGGUUUAGCAACUGGGAGAUGCUCAUCCUGAAGUAAGCUCGCCUUCCGACUUCUUUAUCCACCUGAAACGCGACGAAAGAAGCAAGAAAACUAAACGAAAUUCAUUGCUUUAUCCUCUAUAGACUUAGCAUUAAGUCAUUCCGUAUCGGAAUUGCAUUCACCGGUCGUUUGGGUUUGCAGGGGAUCGACUUACUCGGGGACAACGGCGGUGGUCUACAAAUCGAGCGAGAGGAGGAAGGUGGAAGAGAGCGGGUACAGAAUCGUUGGCAAUAUCGGAGACCAAUGGAGCGACCUGCUCGGAAUCCAUGCCGGCAACCGAACCUUCAAGUUGCCUGACCCCAUGUAUUACAUUAGUUGAUCCCUUUCAUCAGUUUCUCUUCAUUGAUCGGGCCCCAUUUAAGUCCAUGGUGAAUGUGAUUGACUACCAAUAAAUCUCUCGAGAGGAACAAUGUAUGCAUUAGACCAGUCAAAAUGGGUUAUAAACCAAUUUCUUCGCCCAUAUGUGAUGACAAUUAUUAUAUGAGUACGGUAUAAAUGGAUUUAGAAUAUUAAAACCCAAAAUGAUAUGGGUAUCAAAUGAAUUCAUAACUUAUUUAGAUUCAACCAAUUUCUAAAGGUAUGAAUUUUCUUAGAUUUGAUUAAAUACGGAAGUGUUUUAACUAUAUGAGUCGGAUCGAGUAUGUAUUAGGUUACUAUAUUUGUAUUGCAUAAAAAUGAAUCAAAAUGGGUUAAAUGGAUUAAUCUCGAUUAGACGUCAAACCGGACCAAAUCAAUCCAAUCCACGAGUCUAGUAUGCAUUGAUUAGAUGUAUCUAAACACUCUUAUCAUUUAGACACUUAAAUCUCAAGCAAUGACAAAGAUCUUUUAAUAAUGUAUGCAGGUCACAUUUGCUUUAUUCUAUUCACCCACCCGAUAAAAAAAAUUCGGGUUAUGUCUCCACUGAUUAAGAUAAUCAAGUAAUAUUGUAUCAUUUUUCAGAAUUUUGACUCAUGCGGAAGUUAUAUCACGUAACAUUGCAUUAUAUUAUACGGAACAAAGCUCAUUAAAUACUUUGGACUCGCUUAUUCCGUGGGACAACAAAUAGUUGGAAUUUCGGAUCGCAAAUAUAUUGUUCCAUUAGGGAAAAGUUGUUGGUCGACUCUAAAGGUCAUUUGCUAGAGACAUUUCAUAUAUGAAAAUUCACUAUCACAUGAAUAAGUUACCACGUAUAAAGUAUUGUUUUUCUAUGUGAAAAGCGUGAAUAGUAAAUUGGUUUCCCGUGCUUAACAAUUUUUCCAUGACAAAAAGUUAAUUUUCUUUUAGGUGAAAGCCUAUAUUUUUUUUAGCUUGCCUAUUUUUUUUCCAGUCCAUUCUUUGGAUUUUCAAUUUGUCUAAUCAGUCAUUGAAGUUAUAUACCUCUUUAAAUCAAAUGUUUUGCGGCUCCAAUUUCAAGAGCCUAACGCCAAAUAUAUAUAUAUAUAUUUCAUUAUGGACUAUCAAAAAACUUAGGAGACUAACUCAGAAAAUAAAGACCAUGACUAGAUUUUAAGCAAUGAAAUCUCCCAACGCGAAAUUUGCUUUUGGUUUUUUGCAUCGAAAAUUUUGCUUUCUUCAACGAUCGUGUCUGUUUUAAUUGACUAUAUUUGGAACUAGAGAUAUACAACCGGAAAAGUUAUCCAAAAUAGGAGCGUAAUCGAGUCGAGCCAAGUGGAUACCCUGUCAAGUUUGAGCUCGACUUGCAUAUGCAACACAAAAACUAGAUCAACUAUUAGAAUAUGUGCCGGAGCUCUACUUGACUAUAAAAUCGAGAUACUCAUACUCACUUCGGCUCAACUCAGCUCAAGGUCAAUUAAUUUAUCAAGGAACUCAAGCUCGAGCUCUAGCUUGAUCCCAAUUUUCUAAAGGCUCAAAUAAUGUGAAUAUGUUAUGUAGUCUUUAUUAGAAAAUUUGCGGAAAGCCAUGAUCUCGAUGAUCAUGAUCAAUUGCAGAAACGUAUGAAAUCUAUACUAGCUCCAGCCAUUAAUGAUAUUAAGAAUAGAUAUGUGGAGCUUGAGCAAUCAUGAAUGGGCACUUCUAACCAAUUGCCCUCUUGACGUUCAUGGCGUGCUCUCUAAUUAUCAGAUAAUUAGAAUGAUGAGAAUAAUAAGAAGGUUUGGCUUAGAUGACCUAUUUAUAUGCCCGUACAAAUUCUAAUAGAUAUACUCUUCCAUUCCAUCAAGACUAAUCCUAAUAUAUAUGGACAAUAUUCAUAGUUAUCGACUACUGGAUUGGAUAAUAAAUCNNNNNNNNNNNNNNNNNNNNNNNNNNNNNNNNNNNNNNNNNNNNNNNNNNNNNNNNNNNNNNNNNNNNNNNNNNNNNNNNNNNNNNNNNNNNNNNNNNNNGAGGAGAGAGAGGCGCGUGAUGGGGGUCGUUCCCUCCUAAAAGCAAGGGGAGUUUAAGAAGUCUACACUGCUAGAAUUGAGGUGCAUUAAAGAGAAAAUAGAAAAGAACAUUUUUUUUUUUGUAGGAUUUUGAGUGAAUUUAUUUGAUUGAUUGUGUAAUGGGAUCGUAAUUAAAUAAUUGUGAGUAGAGUCGAUUUUCUUUUUCUUUUUUGGGAUGAAGAGAGAGUAGUGGUUAGUUUUAAUUUGUGAUGUAUGAGUGAUUUUGGAAGAUAAUUGGUCAAUCAUUGAGUUAAGAGUAGAUAGAUUAAUGACAGAUUAACCAUUGAGUUAAUUUUAUGAAUAGUGAAAUGUUUCCAAUCAUUGAGAAAUCUUUUCCACUCAUUCAUUUUUUUAAGUAAUAAAAAUAAUUAUUUUUUAAAAAUAUUUUUCACAUCACUCAUUCUCCAUAAAAUAAAUAUAACCUUAGUUUGACACAAAGGAAGCCGUCUAUAUACAUCACAUAUACAUCACAGGAGCUCAAUGAAAAAUAAAAUGUGCUUUUUAUAGUUAUGUAAUUGGCCACUAAUAAGUAGAAUCAAAGGAGCAUUGAAAAAUGUAAGGAAUUAUUACCUAUUAUAAGUCUAUUAUCCAUCCACCGUAAAAUUUCACUCGGGUGAAAUGCAUCAUAAAGUGACAAAAAGACACGAAGAAAAUGCUCAUCUCAUUUGUUCAGAUUGAAUUGAAGUUGGAUGCUUUGUUUUUUUCUUCUUCUUCUUUUUUCUUUUCUUUUUUCUAAUUAAAGCAGAUAUGAAGGCAUCUUUUGUCCCAGAAGAUUGGGGACCGAUCGUGACAUGACGGUUUCACGAAUAAAACGUGCCCCAAAAAAAGCUUGGCUGAAAAGUCACGAGAAUUAUUCGUACAAUUUUAAAAAAAAAAAUUAGGAAGAGGGUCCUCCAUUAAUUAAAUAUUUUUCAGAUUUUUGGAUAAUGUUAUAAAUGUGAUUACUGUCCGAAUUACUCGACUUUCUUAUUUAACAGUUUAAAUCAAUAAUGCAGAUUUUUUUUUUUAAUCUACAUAUAAGCCAGAGGAUUAAUGCAUGUUUCCGGUGAAAUUCCAAAGCAUUUGGACGGUGAAGAGGUGAGGCAGGAACUCUGUACGUGUGGAUAUGGCCAUAUGCCGGAGGAUAUUCAUGCAGCUACAUGGGAGAUUUUUUUUUACCCUAUUUAUCUCGUAAGUGUCCUAGUCAAUUGUCAUUUCAUCGUACAACUAUGUACUUUUAGCCUGUAUAGCUUCCCCACGGAUUUGAUUAGCUUAAUCAAAAUUGUCAACUAUCUCAAAACAAAGGAAAAACAAAAACCAAAAAAAAAAACAAAAGGGCUACGUGGCGUGAUGUUUAUCGACAUAUAAUUCUAAGUUCAUGUCGUAUGGAGAGGCGAUGUUGAGCCUAUUUAAAGGAGCGUCCUCGUGGUAUAGCAAGCCGAAGAUUACACCUAUUUCUCCCUCUCUCUCGAGGCAAAAAAUGGGGAAAGAAAGUAUGUGGGCGUUGCUCAUCUUUGUGGCCGCAAUCCGAGGCUCGCUCGCCGGAAUCCCCCGUGAAAUCCACCUCCUCCGGCCGCACUCGGGCUCCGCCGGGGAGC